ACUAGGAUGUCCUUACUACUUGAUGUGAACAUCCCCUGUAAUUUAAUUUUAAUGAAUGUCAUCAUGGUAAGAUACGGCAGAAUAGUCUACUGUAAAAGUUUAGUAAAACAUACUGUUAAUUUGUUGCUUUCGGAAGUUUCUGAUCUGCCCAAUGCAGAGUCCAAAAAGAAAACCUGAUUAGUGUACUUUAUGGUGUAAUUAAAGGGAAAGUCCUAUUGGGUAAUGGUACUGGAUAAAGGGCUAAUGAAGUCCUGUCUUCCAUAGACCUUCAUGAGUCAACAUCAGCCUGGGUGAUCAGGACUGAGGCGUCUUAUUCUUUUACAGCAAGGCAGGACCAUAAAGAGUCAGUGCGUUUGACUAGUAAAUCGUUACUUUUUUUGUGAUACUAAGACGUUUUGGUAGAAGUCCCCCUUGUACUAAAUGUAAAUUCAACAUCUUUUCAAACAAAAUAAGUUUUUAAAAUGGUCAACUUGUCUUUGUAACAGUUUGUAUUGUUUUGCUGUAUCUGAAUUUGUAUUUUUUCAUGAAUUUUGCAUGAACUUUCACAGUGUUGUAAUAAAUGUUUUAGUUAUUAUGCAGAA